UACGUAGGGGGCAAGCGUUGUCCGGAUUUAUUGGGCGUAAAGAGCGUGUAGGCGGUCAGGCAGGUCCGUUGUGAAAACUCGAGGCUCAACCUCGAGACGCCGAUGGAAACCAUCUGGCUAGAGUCCGGAAGAGGAGAAUGGAAUUCCUGGUGUAGCGGUGAAAUGCGCAGAUAUCAGGAAGAACACCGAUGGCGAAGGCAGUUCUCUGGGACGGUACUGACGCUGAAGCGCGAAAGCCAGGGGAGCGAACGGG
rnacentral:rRNA from 1 species